CGACGUAAUAGUAAAAAAUAUCAUUGCAUGUGCAUGGAGUGACAAUCUUACUUGAAAUGGAUAUCCUCUCCAAAGUGGAAACAUUGAGUGAGUGACUUUUGCCGUGAGUUUUUAUUUUGCCGUGAGUUUUUAUUUUGCCGUGAGUUUUUAUUUUGCCGUGAGUUUUUAUUUUGCCGUGAGUUUUUAUUUUGCCGUGAGUUUUUAUUUUGCCGUGAGUUUUUAUUUUGCCGUAAGUUUUUAUUUUUCCGUAAGUUUUUAUUUUUCCGUAAGUUUUUAUUUUGCCGUGAGUUUUUAUUUUGCCGCGACUUUUUAUUUUGCCGUGAGUUUUUAUUUUGCCGUAAGUUUUUAUUUUUCCGUAAAUUUUUAUUUUUCCGUAAGUUUUUUAUUUUGCCGUGAGUUUUUAUUUUGCCGCGACUUUUUAUUUUGCCGUGAGUUUUUAUUUUGC